rnacentral:sRNA from 1 species
ACGGCACUAGGUAAUGAGUUCUUACUGGCGUUUCCAAGACUUCGCGACCCGAACAUCUAUCUUCUAAUUUAUACACUUGCUGAGAAUAUUACUGUGAGAAUAUCUUUAACAAACCCAGGCAGUUCUAACCAUAGCUGGCUUGGGGGAUUUUCAGUGCUGAAAUUGAAGUCUGUUCAAUAUCGGCUUGACAAAGACCAAGCACCUACGCCAUCGAAGGAGUACAGUCACCACAAGUGCUUGCUGCUGACAAGUGACCAACCGUUCGGCGUCCACGUCCACAUGUACGACGGGUCGCGAUCGUUGAGCAGUUUCAUGGCGGUUCCGA